GAAGAUACUAUCAAAGACAUCAAAUGAGCAUAAAACUUUCAUUCAGAGGACCUGGAAAGUGAAACUAGAGCCAGGUGUACAAAGUUCUCAGUUCUUUUACUGUUUGGGAAAAGGGGAAUUGAAAUGAUGGCCUGGAUUAUAAGUAAUUAUUUAAAUUGCUUUAAUUUGAGGAAAUUGAAAAGGACAAAGCAGAUUUUCAUUAAGGCACAGUAGAGCUGGAGAAGCAGAGCAUGAGAUGCCAUAUCCUUUGGUGAGGAGCUACUACGUGCUUCGAUAGCUGCACCACAUCGGAUCGUGCUGCUCACCUC
rnacentral:lncRNA from 1 species